AGUGAACGCUGGCGGUAGGCCUAACACAUGCAAGUCGAACGGCAGCACAGUAAGAGCUUGCUCUUACGGGUGGCGAGUGGCGGACGGGUGAGGAAUACAUCGGAAUCUACUUUUUCGUGGGGGAUAACGUAGGGAAACUUACGCUAAUACCGCAUACGACCUACGGGUGAAAGCAGGGGAUCUUCGGACCUUGCGCGAUUGAAUGAGCCGAUGCCGGAUUAGCUAGUUGGCGGGGUAAAGGCCCACCAAGGCGACGAUCCGUAGCUGGUCUGAGAGGAUGAUCAGCCAAACUGGAACUGAGAAGCGGUCCAGACUCCUACGGGAGGCAGCAGUGGGGAAUAUGGACAAUGGGCGCAAGCCUGAUCCAGCCAUACCGCGUGGGUGAAGAAGGCCUUCGGGUUUUAAAGCCCUUUUGUUGGGAAAGAAAAGCAGCAGGUUAAUACCCCGCUGUUCUGACGGUACCCAAAGAAUAAGCACCGGCUAACUUCGUG
rnacentral:rRNA from 1 species